rnacentral:rRNA from 1 species
UACGAAGGGGGCUAGCGUUGCUCGGAAUUACUGGGCGUAAAGGGAGCGUAGGCGGAUAGUUUAGUCAGAGGUGAAAGCCCAGGGCUCAACCUUGGAAUUGCCUUUGAUACUGGCUAUCUUGAGUACGGAAGAGGUAUGUGGAACUCCGAGUGUAGAGGUGAAAUCCGUAGAUAUUCGGAAGAACACCAGUGGCGAAGGCGACAUACUGGUCCGUUACUGACGCUGAGGCUCGAAAGCGUGGGGAGCAAACAGG